ensembl:lncRNA
UGUGUGUGUGUGUGUGUGUGUGUGUGUAACGGAUGUGAAACGGCUAGCUUAGUUAGCGGUGGUUCGUGCUAAAUAGCGUUUCAAUCGGUGACGUCACUUGCACUGAGACCUUAGUGGUUCCCCUUUGCUCUGCAAGGGCCGCGGCUUUUGUGGAGCGAUGGGUAACGAUGCUUUGUGGGUGACUGUUGUUGAUGUGUGCAGAGGGUCCCUGGUUCGAGCCCGGAUAUGGGCGAGGGGACAGUUUAAAGUUGUACUGUUACGUGUGUGUGUUGUGUGUGUGUGUGUGUGUAUUGUGGAUGACUGUCUAUUUUUGACCCAUUAAUUAUGUGUGGUUACAGGGUUAAAACAACUCAAAGGGUGAAGUUUAGGUAUUCAUUCAGUGUGGUUAAAGUUAGGGCUAUGGUUCAGAGUGGUUAAAGUUAGGGCUAUGGUUCAGAGUGGUUAAAGUUAGGGCUAUGGUUCAGAGUGGUUAAAGUUAGGGCUAUGGUUCAGAGUGGUUAAAGUUAGGGCUAUGGUUCAGAGUGGUUUGGGGAAGACAAGGAACAAAAUAAUAUCAUCAUAAUAGCAUCACCAGUUCAAUCUGCCGGCUGGCUAGAGCAUUCUGAACUGCACUGGUCUGAGCAGCUCCCUCUGGCUCUGAGCAUCACCAGUUCAAUCUGCCGGCCAAUCAUUUGUCAUUUGUUUGGUGGUGAGCGUGGAGGAAGCGAUAUAUCGACGUUCUGGGUGUCCUUUUCAAACGUCGGAAAUCGUGGUCUAUUUCCAGGGAUCAGUCUGUGUGAGUCAGAGUAUCUCCAGGGAUCAGUCUGUGUGAGUCAGAGUAUUUCCAGGGAUCAGUCUGUGUGAGUCAGAGUAUUUCCAGGGAUCAGUCUGUGUGAGUCAGAGUAUUUCCAGGGAUCAGUCUGUGUGAGUCAGAGUAUUUCCAGGGAUCAGUCUGUGUGAGUCAGAGUAUUUCCAGGGAUCAGUCUGUGUGAGUCAGAGUAUUUCCAGGGAUCAGUCUGUGUGAGUCAGAGUAUUUCCAGGUAGGUUAGGGUGUAGGCCUCUCCAACAGGUCGAUCUCCAGCUACCGGUAGCUACCAGCCCACCUAUGAGUUGCUCGCCAAACUAUUCUGAAUAGUACAUGAAAUGUUCACGUGUUCAACCACCACAAACGGUCAUAAACUAAUCUCACACAGUAUCACAACAAGCUGCCAGCUACUCACUAAUCAACACAACGUUGAUAUCAUCCCACCCCUGGUUAGCCACUACUGCCUUUAAAAACAAGCCAAUCCUAACACAAUAUCUGCCCACUUCAUUUCCAGUAAUAUGGCCCCUGUCUGUCUGUGUGGUUGCGUGCGUGUGUCUAUCACACCGUGUGUAGCAAGUUGACGUGAUAACCGUCUUGUGGGUUGACUGAAAUAUUUUACCCAAAACCCUUCUCAAUUAAAUGUUAACUGUAAAGUAGCCUGACCUGGCAGAGGUAUAUUCAUGAGGAAGUACAUCAUCUAUAUGUAUUAAUUGUUAUUUUAAAAUGUCACUAAACUGGUACAUUAGAUGGGACAUCCCUCACUCACUAGAUGCAGAAUUAAAGGGCCAGGCGCAUAAUUAAAGGGACAGACACAUAAUUAAAGGGCCACACGCACAAUUAAAGGGGAAUUACACCCCAAAAUCUAAAUGUGUUUGUUUUCUUCGACCUACUUUUAUUUUUCAUUAUUUCAUUUCAUUAAGCAUUGACAUGGACUCAGAACUAAUCUAAUGUAAUCUAAUUUAAUCUAAUGUAAUCUAAUCUAAUGUAAUCUAAUUUCGUUGAAAAAUAUAUAUUUUGAGAGUAAAAAACAAAACCUAAAUCCAAGAAAGAUAAAAAUCAGAAAACAUAAUAACAGAUUGUAUAGGGCCUUAGAGCUGUUUAUUAACUAGGUAUAUUGACAGAAAACAUA